AUGCCAUGAUGAAGGCAUUUUUGCAACAACGCCUUGAAUCACUCCCAUGCCUCAUAUAAAGAUUCUUCAUCAAGUUACUGAAAUGAAGUAAUCUCAUUGUGGAGCAU